rnacentral:rRNA from 1 species
AACGAACGCUGGCGGCAUGCCUAACAUAUGCAAGUCGAACGAGACCUUCGGGUCUAGUGGCGCACGGGUGCGUAACGCGUGGGAACCUGCCCUUAGGUUCGGAAUAACUCCCCGAAAGGGGUGCUAAUACCGGAUAAUGUCUUCGGACCAAAGAUUUAUCGCCUUUGGAUGGGCCCGCGUUGGAUUAGCUAGUUGGUAGGGUAAAAGCCUACCAAGGCGACGAUCCAUAGCUGGUCUGAGAGGAUGAUCAGCCACACUGGGACUGAGACACGGCCCAGACUCCUACGGGAGACAGCAGUGGGGAAUAUUAGACAAUGGGCGAAAGCCUGAUCCAGCAAUGCCGCGUGAGUGAUGAAGGCCUUAGGGUUGUAAAGCUCUAUUACCCGGGAUGAUAAUGACAGUACCGGGAGAAUAAGCUCCGGCUAACUCCGUG